rnacentral:rRNA from 1 species
AUUGAACGCUGGCGGCAUGCCUAACACAUGCAAGUCGAGCGGAUAAAGGGAGCUUGCUCCUGGAUUCAGCGGCGGACGGGUGAGUAAUGCCUAGGAAUCUGCCUGGUAGGGGGGGAUAACGUCCGGAAACGGGCGCUAAUACCGCAUACGUCCUGAGGGAGAAAGGGGGGGAUCUUCGGACCUCACGCUAUCAGAUGAGCCUAGGUCGGAGUAGCUAGUUGGGGGGAUGAAGGCAUACCGAGGCGACGAUCCGUAGCUGUUCUGAGUGGGUGAUCAGACACAGUGACACGGAGACACGGUACAGACUUAUGCGGGAGGCAGGAGUGGAGUAUAUUGGAAUGGGGGCGAGCGUGAGAUAGCGACACGGCGUGUGUGAAGAAGGUCUUCGGAUUGUAAAGCACUUUAAGUUGGGAGGAAGGGCAGUAAGUUAAUACCUUGCUGUUUUGACGGUACCAAAAGAAUAAGCACCGGCUAACUUCGUG